CCCCGCCAUUUUGCUCCGCCCACCUCUCCCAGAAGCACUAUUUUUAAUAGAUCCAACUGGAAACUACACAAGGAAAAUGUGUGUGUCAAGAGUAGAAUGGGUCAGUCAAAUGUAGUAUAUUCACACAACAGAAUACUACACAGCAAUGAGGGUUAAUGAUCUACAAUUGCACUCAACAAUGUGGAGGAAUCUGAUGAACAUAUUCUUAAGUGAAAGAAGUCAGAUAUGAGACAAUAUCGAUUGCCUUGUUCAUCCUUAUCCUUGGUGCUGGGCUAGACGCAAGAUGUGCGGAAACUCCUAAGACAGGCCUGCCCUCAAGGCACUCGCAGACCGCAGGGAGACAGGAAUAACAAGCUCUGUGAUAAGCCCUGGCCAAGCCCCACCCAGGAGAUAUGCCAUGGAAACGGGAUGCCUGGGUGGCAGGGAUCUUUGAAUGGUUGACCCCAUAUUACGUCUACCUGCCUGAUGAAGGAAAGCCAAAAGCUGGAGAGGCCCACAUAGAAAGAAGCUGUGGGCCACCAUCCGCCAUGGCCAGCAAGGAACUGAGAGCCUCAGUCCAGCAGCUGGGGAAGAACUGAGUCCUGCCAAUAACCACAGAGUGAACUUGGCAACAGAUCUUGACCCAGCUGAGCCUUCAGGCUGGAGCACUUAAUGGGCGGUGCAAAUGCCUUGAUGCUUUGUCGUCCUGCCAUGGUGACAAUGGAAGAGCCACCAGACUGGAGGAGCUGAGGACACUGAGCUAUCAUAUGGGGACAGCUGCCCUGGAGAGCCGCCCAGACUCACAGCUGACUUUGUCCCUACAGUGACCAGUGAGAAGGCGCUGAAAUGUCCCUGUGGAGAGAGAACGGGCUGGUCAAAGCUGGAGCUGACUGGGGCUGAGGCCUGCUAAGUUCUGGCACCCGGCCUGUACGCGGCUGGUCUGAGUUGGUCAUGGCUGUGCCACAGAAGGCCUGACAGAAAAGGUGUCCCAAAGGAGACAGGAAAAUGGGAAAACCAGAC
rnacentral:lncRNA from 1 species